GGGUUGUUAGCUCAGCUGGUAGAGCAGCGGACUUUUAAUCCGUUGGUCACAGGUUCGAAUCCUGUACAACCCA
rnacentral:tRNA from 1 species